rnacentral:rRNA from 1 species
UACGUAGGGUGCGAGCGUUAAUCGGAAUUACUGGGCGUAAAGCGUGCGCAGGCGGUCUGUUAAGACCGAUGUGAAAUCCCUCGGCUUAACCGGGGAACUGCGUCUGAUACUGGAUGGCUUGAGUUUGGGAGAGGGACGCGGAAUUCCAGGUGUAGCGGUGAAAUGCGUAGAUAUCUGGAGGAACACCGGUGGCGAAGGCGGCGUCCUGGACCAACACUGACACUGAGGCGCGAAAGCUAGGGGAGCAAACGGG